rnacentral:rRNA from 1 species
AUUGAACGCUGGCGGCAGGCUUAACACAUGCAAGUCGAACGAGUGGCGGACGGGUGAGUAAUGCUUGGGAAUCUGCCUUAUGGAGGGGGAUAACUACUGGAAACUGUAGCUAAUACCGCAUACCCUCUGAUGAGCCCAGGUGGGAUUAGCUCGUUGGGGGGGUAAAGGCUCACCAAGGCGACGAUCUCUAGCUGGUCUGAGAGGAUGACCAGCCACACUGGGACUGAGACACGGUCCAGACUCCUACGGGAGGAAGCAGUGGGGAAUAUGGCGCAAUGGGGGCAACCCUGACGCAGCCAUGCCGCGUGAAUGAAGAAGGCCUUCGGGUUGUAAAGUUCUUUCAGUAGGGAGGCGUUACCUGCAGAAGAAGCACCGGCUAACUCCGUGCCAGCAGCCGCGGUAAUAC